UGCCCCUUGGUCAAGCGGUUAAGACACCGCCUUUCACGGCGGUAAACGGGUUCGAAUCCCGUAGGGGUCACCA
rnacentral:tRNA from 1 species